GGAGGUGCAAGCGUUAUCCGGAUUCACUGGGUUAAAGGUGCGUAGGUGGGCAAGUAAGUCAGUGGUGAAAUCUCCGGGCUUAACCCGGAAACUGCCAUUGAUACUAUUUGUCUUGAAUACUGUGGAGGUCAGCGGAAUAUGUCAUGUAGCGGUGAAAUGCUUAGAUAUGACAUAGAACACCAAUUGCGAAGGCAGCUGGCUACACAAAUAUUGACACUGAGGCACGAAAGCGUGGGGAUCAAACAGGAUUAGAUACCCUGGUAGUCCACGCCCUAAACUAUGGAUACUCGACAUUUGCGAUAAACUGCAAGUGUCUGAGCGAAAGCAUUAAGUAUCCCACCUGGGAAGUACGAUCGCAAGAUUG
rnacentral:rRNA from 1 species